ACACGACAUAGAUUGCACCAUUUUGCUGUGAGACUUGUUGUGUUGCACCCAGGGCGAGGUAGAAAAGGAUCUGAGUCCUGGUGGCCAACCAUCCUGGAGGUCCCUGAUGGAGCUUCAGCUAUCCCACCUCUGACAAAUUGUUGUGGAAAUUUCACUAUGCUCUUAAUAAAGUCCAGAAGUCUGA